rnacentral:rRNA from 1 species
AGGAUGAACGCUAGCUACAGGCUUAACACAUGCAAGUCGAGGGGAAACGACAUCGAAAGCUUGCUUUUGAUGGGCGUCGACCGGCGCACGGGUGAGUAACGCGUAUCCAACCUGCCCACCACUUGGGGAUAACCUUGCGAAAGUAAGACUAAUACCCAAUGAUAUCUCUAGAAGACAUCUGAAAGAGAUUAAAGAUUUAUCGGUGAUGGAUGGGGAUGCGUCUGAUUAGCUUGUUGGCGGGGUAACGGCCCACCAAGGCAACGAUCAGUAGGGGUUCUGAGAGGAAGGUCCCCCACAUUGGAACUGAGACACGGUCCAAACUCCUACGGGAGGCAGCAGUGAGGAAUAUUGGUCAAUGGACGAGAGUCUGAACCAGCCAAGUAGCGUGCAGGAUGACGGCCCUAUGGGUUGUAAACUGCUUUUAUAAGGGAAUAAAGUGAGUCUCGUGAGACUUUUUGCAUGUACCUUAUGAAUAAGGACCGGCUAAUUCCGUGCCAGCAGCCGCGGUAAUACGGAAGGUCCGGGCGUUAUCCGGAUUUAUUGGGUUUAAAGGGAGCGUAGGCCGGAGAUUAAGCGUGUUGUGAAAUGUAGACGCUCAACGUCUGCACUGCAGCGCGAACUGGUUUCCUUGAGUACGCACAAAGUGGGCGGAAUUCGUGGUGUAGCGGUGAAAUGCUUAGAUAUCACGAAGAACUCCGAUUGCGAAGGCAGCUCACUGGAACGCAACUGACGCUGAAGCUCGAAAGUGCGGGUAUCGAACAGGAUUAGAUACCCUGGUAGUCCGCACGGUAAACGAUGGAUGCCCGCUGUUGGUCUGAAUAGGUCAGCGGCCAAGCGAAAGCAUUAAGCAUCCCACCUGGGGAGUACGCCGGCAACG